rnacentral:rRNA from 1 species
UACGUAGGCAGCGAGCGUUGUUCGGAGUUACUGGGCGUAAAGAGUGCGUAGGCGGUUUUCUAAGUUUGGUGUGAAAUCUCCCGGCUUAACUGGGAGGGUGCGCCGAAAACUGGAAGGCUUGAGUAUGGGAGAGGUGAAGCGGAAGUUCCUGGUGUAGCGGUGAAAUGCGUAGAUAUCAGGAGGAGCACCUGCGGUGUAGACGGCUUACUGGACCAUAACUGACGCUGAGGCACGAAAGCGUGGGUAGCAAACAGG